rnacentral:rRNA from 1 species
AAGCCCAGCUUGCUGGGUGGAUUAGUGGCGAACGGGUGAGUAACACGUGAGUAACCUGCCCUUAACUCUGGGAUAAGCCUGGGAAACUGGGUCUAAUACCGGAUAGGAGCGCCCACCGCAUGGUGGGUGUUGGAAAGAUUUAUCGGUUUUGGAUGGACUCGCGGCCUAUCAGCUUGUUGGUGAGGUAAUGGCUCACCAAGGCGACGACGGGUAGCCGGCCUGAGAGGGUGACCGGCCACACUGGGACUGAGACACGGCCCAGACUCCUACGGGAGGCAGCAGUGGGGAAUAUUGCACAAUGGGCGCAAGCCUGAUGCAGCGACGCCGCGUGAGGGAUGACGGCCUUCGGGUUGUAAACCUCUUUCAGUAGGGAAGAAGCGAAAGUGACGGUACCUGCAGAAGAAGCACCGGCUAACUACGUGCCAGCAGCCGCGGUAAUACGUAGGGUGCGAGCGUUAUCCGGAAUUAUUGGGCGUAAAGAGCUCGUAGGCGGUUUGUCGCGUCUGUCGUGAAAGUCCGGGGCUUAACCCCGGAUCUGCGGUGGGUACGGGCAGACUAGAGUGCAGUAGGGGAGACUGGAAUUCCUGGUGUAGCGGUGGAAUGCGCAGAUAUCAGGAGGAACACCGAUGGCGAAGGCAGGUCUCUGGGCUGUAACUGACGCU